rnacentral:tRNA from 1 species
GAAAAUUUAGUUUAAUUAAAACAUUAAUUUGUCAAAUUGAAAAAACCUGAAGUAAUUUUCU